rnacentral:rRNA from 1 species
GGGAGGUAGUGACAAUAAAUACCUUACAGAGGUCUCGUUAACCGAGAUCUCUCAAACGGAAUGAGUACAACGUGAAUCCUUUAACGAGGAUCGACUGGAGGGCAAGCCUGGUGCCAGCAGCCGCGGUAAUUCCAGCUCCAGUAGCGUAUAUUAAAGCUGUUGCGGUUAAAAAGCUCGUAGUUGGAUAUCAGUGCGUGUCCGGUCCGGUAUGCCUGGCGCUGUCGCUCACACGGCAAUGCUGGGCUCCCAAAUAUCGGCUGGCCGCAUUCAAUCGUGCCGGAUCCGUCGACGGGCCGUUCUUCGGAGGGGCCUGUUGGCGACCGGCGACGUUACCUUGAACAAAUUAGAGUGCUCAAAGCAGGCUCUGAAUGCCUGUAUACAUAUUCAUGGAAUUGGAGAAUACGUCCCUGGCUCGAUUUGGUUGGUUUUGAGAGUCGAAGGGAAAUGAUUAAUAGGGACUGACGGAGGCAUUCGUAUUGCGACGCGAGGGGUGAAAUCCUGUGACCGUCGCACGACGAACUACUGCGAAAGCAUUUGCCGAGAAUGUUUUCAUUAGUCAAGAACGAAAGUUAGAGGUUCGAAGGCGAUCAGAUACCGCCCUAGUUCUAACCGUAAACGAUGUCGACCAGCAAUCCGCAAUGGUCACUACACGGACUAUGCGGGCAGCUUCCCCGGGGAAACCAGAGUUUUUGGACUCCGGGGGAAGUAUGGUUGCAAAGCUGAAACUUAAAGGAAUUGACGGAAGGGCACCACCAGGAGUGGAGCUUGCGGCUUAAUUUGACUCAACACGGGACAACUCACCAGGCCCGGACACCGUAAGGAUUGACAGACUGAUAGCUCUCUCUUGAUUCAGUGGGUGGUGGUGCAUGGCCGUUCUUAGUUGGUGGAGUGAUUUGUCUGGUUUAUUCCGAUAACGAACGAGACUCUGGCCUAUUAAACUUGACGCUGCCAGUCUCUUCUGACUGCGGCGCGCUUCUUAGAGGGAUCAUCGGCGUCCCAGCCGAAGGAAAGGGAGCAAUAACAGGUCUGUGAUGCCCUUAGAUGUUCUGGGCUGCACGCGUGUUACACUGAAGUGGUCAGCGCGCCGUUCAACGUCCCUCUCCGUGAGGAGCGGGCAAACGUUUGAACCCUUUUCGUGAUGGGAAUUGGGGGUUGCAAUUGUCCCCCAUGAACGAGGAAUUCCAAGUAAGCGCAAGUCACUAGCUUGCGUUGAUUAAGUCCCUGCCCUUUGUACACACCGCCCGUCGCUACUACCGAUGGAUGAUUUGGUGAGGUCGCCUA